rnacentral:rRNA from 1 species
CCUACGGGAGGCAGCAGUGGGGAAUAUUGGACAAUGGGCGAAAGCCUGAUCCAGCAAUGCCGCGUGAGUGAUGAAGGCCUUAGGGUUGUAAAGCUCUUUUACCAGGGAUGAUAAUGACAGUACCUGGAGAAUAAGCUCCGGCUAACUCCGUGCCAGCAGCCGCGGUAAUACGGAGGGAGCUAGCGUUGUUCGGAAUUACUGGGCGUAAAGAGUACGUAGGCGGUGAUUCAAGUCAGAGGUGAAAGCCUGGAGCUCAACUCCAGAACUGCCUUUGAAACUAGAUCGCUAGAAUCAUGGAGAGGUUAGUGGAAUUCCGAGUGUAGAGGUGAAAUUCGUAGAUAUUCGGAAGAACACCAGUGGCGAAGGCGACUAACUGGACAUGUAUUGACGCUGAGGUACGAAAGCGUGGGGAGCAAACAGGAUUAGAUACCCUGGUAGUCCACGCCGUAAACGAUGAUAACUAGCUGUUCGGGGUCUACGAUCCUGAGUGGCGCAGCUAACGCAUUAAGUUAUCCGCCUGGGGAGUACGGUCGCAAGAUUAAAACUUAAAGGAAUUGACGG